UAUCUGCCGUGGGCGUAAGAAGAUUGAAGAGAUUUGACCCUAGUACGAGAGGACCGGGUUGAACAACCCACUGGUGUAGCUGUUGUUCUGCCAAGAGCAUCGCAGCGUAGCUAAGUUUGGAAAGGAUAAACGCGGAAAGCAUCUAAGCGUGAAGCCAACUCUAAGAUGAAUCUUCUCUAAGCUCUCUAGAAGACUACUAGUUUGAUAGGCGGGGUGUGUAAUGGAGGAAAGUCCUUUAGCUGACCAGUACUAAUAG
rnacentral:rRNA from 1 species